CAGUAGCCGCGGGAAUACGAAGGGGGCUAGCGUUGCUCGGAAUGACUGGGCGUAAAGGGCGCGUAGGCGGAUGGCACAGUCAGAUGUGAAAUUCCCGGGCUUAACCUGGGGGCUGCAUUUGAUACGUGUUGUCUAGAGUGAGGAAGAGGGUCGUGGAAUUCCCAGUGUAGAGGUGAAAUUCGUAGAUAUUGGGAAGAACACCGGUGGCGAAGGCGGCGACCUGGUCCUUUACUGACGCUGAGGCGCGAAAGCGUGGGGAGCAAACAGGAUUAGAUACCCCCGUAGUCCCUGUCUCUUAUAC
rnacentral:rRNA from 1 species